rnacentral:rRNA from 2 species
CUGGUUGAUCCUGCCAGUAGUCAUAUGCUUGUCUCAAAGACUAAGCCAUGCAUGUCUAAGUAUAAAUGUUAUACAGUGAAACUGCGAAUGGCUCAUUAAAACAGUUAUAGUUUAUUUGAUAAUCGAAUUUACAUGGAUAACCGUGGUAAUUCUAGAGCUAAUACAUGCUGGUUAGCCUGACUUCGAGGAAGGGCUGUAUUUAUUAGAUAACAAACCAAUAUUCUUCGUGUCUAUUGUGAUGACUCAUAAUAACUGAUCGAAUCGCAUGGUCCUUGACCGCGAUAAAUCAUUCAAGUUUCUGCCCCAUCAGCUUUCGAUGGUAGUGUAUUGGACUACCAUGGCUUUAACGGGUAACGGAGGAUUAGGGUUCGAUUCCGGAGAGGGAGCCUGAGAAACGGCUACCACAUCUAAGGAAGGCAGCAGGCGCGUAAAUUACCCAAUCCUGACUCAGGGAGGUAGUGACAAGAAAUAACGGACCGAGGCUUUGCUUCGGGAUUGCAAUGAGUAGAAUUUAAACCCCUUUACGAGGAUCCAUUGGAGGGCAAGUCUGGU